rnacentral:rRNA from 1 species
UACGGGGGGGGCAAGCGUUGUUCGGAAUUACUGGGCGUAAAGGGCUCGUAGGCGGCCAACUAAGUCGGACGUGAAAUCCCUCGGCUUAACCGGGGAACUGCGUCCGAUACUGGAUGGCUUGAGUUCGGGAGAGGGAUGCGGAAUUCCAGGUGUAGCGGUGAAAUGCGUAGAUAUCUGGAAGAACACCUAUGGCGAAGGCAGCUCUCUGGGACGGUACUGACGCUGAGACGCGAAAGCGUGGGGAGCGAACAGG